UACGUAGGGUGCAGGCGUUAAUCGGAAUUACUGGGCGUAAAGCGUGCGCAGGCGGUUUCUUAAGUCAGAUGUGAAAGCCCUGGGCUUAACCUGGGAACUGCGUUUGAAACUGGGAGACUAGAGUGUGGCAGAGGGGGGUGGAAUUCCACGUGUAGCAGUGAAAUGCGUAGAGAUGUGGAGGAAUACCGAUGGCGAAGGCAGCCUCCUGGGCCAACACUGACGCUCAUGCACGAAAGCGUGGGGAGCAAACAGG
rnacentral:rRNA from 1 species